rnacentral:lncRNA from 1 species
AAGGUUACACAAUAAUUUAUUGAGAGCCUCCUCUCCCUGCCCUUGCAGUCUCUAGUUUACUUUUUCUGCUUAUAGAUUUUGCGCACCAGCCCCAGAAAGAUGGCUGGGGUCAGGGGUGCUGCGUACUGUUCAAUGAGACCCAUAAUGUGGCUGUAACUGUCUUCCUCAUAUUGCAAGAACACGGCCAGCAGAUUCAGCUCCUCAGAUAGUGCCUUAACCUGGGCCACCUUCUUGGCCUUCUUCUGCCGGUAGUUCUCCUUCAGGAUCUGGUACUAUUCUGGAGUGGCCUGUUGCAGACACUGAACCACCAGCCAACCGCAUUUGUUGUCCUGGAUGUCAGUGCCAACUUUGCUGGUCACACUGGGGUCCCCAAAGAGGUCAAGGUAAUCAUCCUGAAUCUGAAAGAACUCUCCCAUCUCCAGCAGGAUCUUCUUGCCAUUAGCAUGCUCCUUGUCGCCAUCAAUUCCUGCUGUACAUGGCUGCAGCUACAGGAAGGUAGGAGUAGAAAGCUGCCUUGUACUUGACGAUAGAUUUGUACCUCUUUUCAGUGAAUCUGCCAAGAUCCACAUUGCCCUGGGGGGCUGUGAUGAGGUCCAGGGUCUACCCAAUCUCAGUCUGAUAGGAACUCUGCAGGAAGAGCUCGAUUAGGUCCAGGUAAUAGGGCUGCUCCAGGCUGGAGCUUCAGCAGGUGGUAGAUACAUACUUCCAGAAGCAUAGCAUCAUUGAUGGCAUCCAAACCCAUGCCCGGCUUCUGAUACCACCAGAUCUGUCCCCGGCGGGAGACGGAUGAAUCCAUGAUGUCAUCUGCCACCAGGAAGAAAGCUUGCAGCAGUUCCACACACCAGCCCACGGUC